UACGUAGGGUGCGAGCGUUGUCCGGAUUUAUUGGGCGUAAAGAGCGUGUAGGCGGCCAAAUAGGUCGGUUGUGAAAACUGGAGGCUUAACCUCCAGACGUCGACCGAAACCAUCUGGCUAGAGUCCGGAAGAGGAGAGUGGAAUUCCUGGUGUAGCGGUGAAAUGCGCAGAUAUCAGGAAGAACACCCGUGGCGAAGGCGGCUCUCUGGGACGGUACUGACGCUGAGACGCGAAAGCGUGGGGAGCGAACAGG
rnacentral:rRNA from 1 species